GUCCUUGAAGUGCAUCGGAUAGCGCGUUGGAUUUCUAAUCCAAAGGGUGGAGGUUCGAAUCCCUCCUAGGAUG